rnacentral:rRNA from 1 species
UACAGAGGUCCCAAGCGUUGUUCGGAUUCAUUGGGCGUAAAGGGUGCGUAGGCGGCGCGGUAAGUCGGGUGUGAAAUCUCGGGGGCUUAACCCCCGGGUCUGCAGUCGAUACGGGCAGGCUAGAGUGUGGUAGGGGAGAUCGAAUUCCUGGUGUAGCGGUGAAAUGCGCAGAUAUCAGGAGGAACACCGGUGGCGAAGGCGGAUCUCUGGGCCAUUACUGACGCUGAGGAGCGAAAGCGUGGGGGAGCGAACAGG